GGGGCUUUGUUGCGGUUUUCACACGCCAGCUUCCUACUUCUUUUUGGCAGCCGCCUUCUUGGCCUUUGCAGCUUUAGGUUUUGCUGCUUUGGGCUUAGCGGCUUUGGGCUUUGCCGCCUUCGGCUUAACUGCCUUGGGCUUGGCAGGACUCUUGGUUGCCUUUUUCGGUUUGGCAGCGGCCUUGGCCUUCUUAGGGCUCUUCGCCACCUUUUUGACGCCAGCCGCCGCGGGCUUCUUCGCCUUCUUCGGAGUCUUCUUCACUGCCUUUUUCGCCCCUGCAGCCUUCUUGGCCUUCUUAGGCGUGGCCCCCGCGGGCUUCUUAGCUUUAGCGGCGCCUGCCUUCUUGGCUUUGGGCUUGGCUUCCCCGGAGGCCGCCUUCUUGUUG
rnacentral:lncRNA from 1 species